rnacentral:lncRNA from 1 species
AUAAAUAGCACGCUUUUUGCUCUUUUUCUUACAACAUUCCUGACAUGGAAGUGUUUGUGUCAUUGGAUAAAAGCAUUUUAACUUUGCAAGAAUGAAUGGAAGUAUACUGAAGCGAUAAUACAAAUUUAUCGACAGAGAAAAAUAUAUUUGUAUAUCUUAUUCGAAUAUUUUCCGAUAAGAAAAAUUGAAAACAGUUCUUCUUUGAAUACUGUAUAAUAUGGGUCAGUUAUGUUGUGGAGGUUGUUUUUCGUUUUUAAAAUUCGUCAGGAAAAAAGGGAAGCAUCAAGGGAGUAGAAAUUCGAAAGAUAUUAAUGGAUAUAUUUCUGCCGAUUCUCCAAGAUUAGAACGGAUUUUGAUCACGAAAUCGGGAAGAUGUAAACAGAAACAUGGAAGACGAUCUGUAGUAUUCGAGAAUCCUGCUUUAUUAACUUUAUCAUCAGAAGAAUUUGAUAGUUCCUAGAAAAUGUAGGUUUUUUUAUGCGAUAUAUUUUCUCGUGUAUGAAGAAGAUAUUUUUUUUGUAAACUCAUUUUGUUUUUGAG